rnacentral:rRNA from 1 species
GAUGAACGCUAGCGGCAGGCUUAACACAUGCAAGUCGAGGGGUAUAGGGAGCUUGCUUCCUAGAGACCGGCGCACGGGUGCGUAACGCGUAUGCAAUCUACCUUUUGCAGAGGGAUAGCCCAGAGAAAUUUGGAUUAAUACCUCAUAGUAUAGCAGUUUCGCAUGAAACCACUAUUAAAGUCACAACGGCAAAAGAUGAGCAUGCGUCCCAUUAGCUAGUUGGUAAGGUAACGGCUUACCAAGGCUACGAUGGGUAGGGGUCCUGAGAGGGAGAUCCCCCACCACUGGUACUGAGACACGGACCAGACUCCUACGGGAGGCAGCAGUGAGGAAUAUUGGACAAUGGGCGCAAGCCUGAUCCAGCCAUGCCGCGUGCAGGAUGACGGUCCUAUGGAUUGUAAACUGCUUUUUAUACAGGAAGAAACACUCCGACGUGUCGGAGCUUGACGGUACUGUAAGAAUAAGGAU